AUAAUGGUAAUGAUGGAGAUAGUAGUCUGAGUGUACGUUUGCAGAGAGUCGGCAUUUGGUGAAAGCCGAUAACAAGCAUUUGGAGGAAAAUCACUCCAGAACUGCAUUUCUGAAAUUUGAGUAAGAGAUGCCGGAUUAGCCGCGUUAAUCGGCUUAGGUUUGAUUGAACCGAAGAGUGGCAUUGCUAUGCAAAUAAGGUGGUAUCGCGGGUAUUUUACUCGUCCUUGAU
rnacentral:ncRNA from 1 species